rnacentral:rRNA from 1 species
UGGGGAAUUUUGGACAAUGGGGGAAACCCUGAUCCAGCCAUGCCGCGUGCGGGAAGAAGGCCUUCGGGUUGUAAACCGCUUUUGUCAGGGAAGAAAAGGCGCAGUCUAAUACAUUGCGGCCAUGACGGUACCUGAAGAAUAAGCACCGGCUAACUACGUGCCAGCAGCCGCGGUAAUACGUAGGGUGCGAGCGUUAAUCGGAAUUACUGGGCGUAAAGCGUGCGUAGGCGGUUAUGCAAGACAGAUGUGAAAUCCCCGAGCUCAACUUGGGAACGGCAUUUGUGACUGCAUGGCUUGAGUGCGGCAGAGGGGGAUGGAAUUCCGCGUGUAGCAGUGAAAUGCGUAGAUAUGCGGAGGAACACCGAUGGCGAAGGCAAUCCCCUGGGCCUGCACUGACGCUCAUGCACGAAAGCGUGGGGAGCAAACAGG